rnacentral:rRNA from 1 species
CGCGUAGGCGGCCUGCUAAGUCUGAAGUGAAAGUCCUGCUUUCAAGGUGGGAAGUGCUUUGGAUACUGGUGGGCUGGAGCGCAGGAGAGGAAAGCGGAAUUACCGGUGUAGCGGUGAAAUGCGUAGAGAUCGGUAGGAACACCAGCGGCGAAGGCGGCUUUCUGGACUGAAACUGACGCUGAGGCGCGAAAGCGUGGGGAGCAAACA